AUGGUCGGUCUCGUGUGUAAUCCCACAAUUGGCAGUCGGAGGCAGGAGGCUCUCAAGUCAGAAAGCAACCUGGGCCACAUGGGUGCUGGCACUGCACUGGACCCGGCCGUGGAGGAAAUCAAGGAGAAAUGAAGAUGGUGAAACACAGAAUCUUGGUGCUGUCUGGGAAAGGUGGCGUUGGGAAGAGCACAUUCAGUGCCCACCUCACCACAGCCUGGCAGAAGAUGGAGACAUGCAGGUCGCUCUUCUGGACAUCGAUAUUUGUGGGCCAUCGAUAUCUGUGGCCCAUCGAUUCCCAAGAUCAUGGGCUUGGAAGGAGAUCAGGUUCACUAGAGUGGCUCCAGCUGGUCUCCAGUGUACAUGGAGGACAACCUGGGGGUAAUGUCUGUGGGUUUCCUGCUCAGCAGCCCUGAUGAUGCUGUCAUCUGGAGGGGACCAAAGAAAAAUGGCAUGAUCAGGCAGUUCCUCUGUGAUGUAGACUGGGGAGAUGUCGACUACCUCAUUGUAGACACCCCAACCAGCACCUCUGUUGUCCAGUAUCUGGCUGCAGCACACAUUGAUGGGGUAGUGAUCCUCACCACCCCUCAGGAGGUGGCCCUCCAGGAUGUCCGGAAAGAGAUAAGCUUCUGCCACAUUAUUGGUGUGGUGGAGAACAUGAGCAGCUUCAUUUGCCCCAAGUGCAAGAAAGAGUCUCAGAUCUUCCCUCCCACAACCGGGGGUGCAGAGGCCAUGCGCCAGGACCUGAAGAUCCCUCUUCUGGACAAAGUGCCUCUGGAUCCACUUAUGGGUAAGAGCUGUGACAAAGGGCAGUCUUUUUUGGUUGAAACCCCAGAUUCACUAGCCACGGCAGCCUACAGAAUAAUUCAAAGAAUCCAAGGGUUUUGUAGUUCUCGAAAGUCACAUAAUGAGAACCUCAUCAGUCCCUGA